ACAGAGGGUGCGAGCGUUAAUCGGAAUUACUGGGCGUAAAGCGCACGUAGGUGGCGACGUAAGUCGGGUGUGAAAGCCCCGGGCUCAACCUGGGAAUUGCAUUCGAGACUGCAUUGCUGGAGUACGGAAGAGGAGGGCGGAAUUCCCGGUGUAGCGGUGAAAUGCGUAGAUAUCGGGAGGAAUACCUAUGGCGAAAGCAGGCUACUGGACCGUCACUGACUCUGAUCUGCGAAAGCUAGGGGAGCAAACAGGA
rnacentral:rRNA from 1 species